rnacentral:tRNA from 1 species
GCCUGGGUGGCUCAGUCGGUUGAGCGUCCGACUUCAGCUCAGGUCAUGAUCUGGCGGCUCGUGGGUUCGAGCCCCACGUCGGGCU